UACUUGGUUGAUCCUGCCAAGGAAAGCACACUUAGGUCAUAGAUUAAGCCAUGCAAGUGUUAGUUCAGGUAACGAAACUGCGAAUAGCUCAUUAAUACGCUCAGAAUCUAUUUGGCGGCGACCAACAGGUCUUAAAUGGAUAGCAGCAGCAACUCUGGUGCUAAUACAUGCGAUUGUUUCUCCAGAUGUGAAUUAUGGAGGAAAAGUUGACCUCAUCAGAGGCACGCCAUUCGACUGAGUGACCUAUCAGCUUGUACUUAGGGUCUUUACCUAGGUAGGCUAUCACGGGUAACGGGCGGUUACCGUCGGACUGCCGGAGAAGGCGCCUGAGAGAUAGCGACUAUAUCCACGGGUAGCAGCAGGCGCGAAACUUUCCCACUCGAGACUUUCGGAGGAGGUAAUGACCAGUUCCAUUGGUGCCUUUUGGUACUGUGGAUAGGGGUACGGUUUUCCACCGUACCGAAACCUAGCAGAGGGCCAGUCUGGUGCCAGCAGCUGCGGUAAUUCCAGCUCUGCGAGUUUGCUCCCAUAUUGUUGCAGUUAAAACGCCCGUAGUCUGAAUUGGCCAGCAAUGGUCGUACGUAUUUUUACGUUCACUGUGAACAAAUCAGGACGCUUAGAGUAUGGCCACAUGAAUGACUCAGCGCAGUAUGAAGUCUUUGUUUUCUUCCGAAAACAAGCUCAAUGAGAGCCAUCGGGGGUAGAUCUAUCUCAUGACGAGUGGUGGAAUACUUUGACUCAUGAGAGAGAAGCUGAGGCGAAGGCGUCUACCUAGAGGGUUUCUGUCGAUCAAGGGCGAGAGUAGGAGUAUCCAACAGGAUUAGAGACCCUGGUAGUUCCUACCUUAAACGAUGCCGACAGGAGUUUGUCAUUUGUUAAUGGCAGAAUCUUUGGAGAAAUCAUAGUUCUUGGGCUCUGGGGGAACUACGACCGCAAGG
rnacentral:ncRNA from 2 species